rnacentral:rRNA from 1 species
UCUCUUACCCAUGUCUUUUGAGUACCUUACGUUUCCUCGGUGGGUUCGCCCACCGAUUGGACAAAUUUAAACCCUUUGCAGUUGAAAUCAGCGUCUGAAAAAACUUAAUAGUUACAACUUUCAACAACGGAUCUCUUGGUUCUGGCAUCGAUGAAGAACGCAGCGAAAUGCGAUAAGUAGUGUGAAUUGCAGAAUUCAGUGAAUCAUCGAAUCUUUGAACGCACAUUGCGCCCCUUGGUAUUCCAUGGGGCAUGCCUGUUCGAGCGUCAUUUGUACCUUCAAGCUCUGCUUGGUGUUGGGUGUUUGUCUCCUGUAGACUCGCCUUAAAACAAUUGGCAGCCGGCGUAUUGAUUUCGGAGCGCAGUACAUCUCGCGCUUUGCACUCAUAACGACGACAUCCAAAAGUACAUUUUUACACUCUUGACCUCGGAUCAGGUAGGGAUACCCGCUGAACUUAAGCAUAUCAAUAAGCGGA